rnacentral:rRNA from 1 species
CAGUCGCCGCGGUAAUACGGAGGGUGCAAGCGUUAAUCGGAAUUACUGGGCGUAAAGCGUGCGUAGGCGGUUCGUUAAGUCUGUUGUGAAAGCCCCGGGCUCAACCUGGGAAUGGCAAUGGAUACUGGCGAGCUAGAGUGUGUCAGAGGAUGGUGGAAUUCCCGGUGUAGCGGUGAAAUGCGUAGAGAUCGGGAGGAACAUCAGUGGCGAAGGCGGCCAUCUGGGACAACACUGACGCUGAGGCACGAAAGCGUGGGGAGCAAACAGGAUUAGAUACCCGCGUAGUCCCUGUCUCUUAUAA